GAGGUAAACCAAGAUUUCAUUUUCAAGAUGGAAAGUCAGUCAGACUCAGCUGUGGUUUUGCCUAGUACUCCACAGGCCUUUGUGAAUCCAUCAUCUCCCCGUACAACUAGUUCAUGAAAACAACCUAUGAGUGCAACACUUAAAGAAAGAUUAAGGAAAACAAGAUCUUCAUUUAAUUCCUGUUACAAUGUGAUAAAACGUCUUAAAGUAGAGAAUGAAGAAAACAAUCAGAACUUUUCAGAGAAACCAGCGUAUUCCACAGAGGAAAACUGUUUGGAAUUUCAAGAAAAUUUUAAACACAUAGACAAGUGAAUUUGAAGAAAUCACAUAUUUGAAAAAUACCUUCAAGAAUAUCAAUGUGAGUGAAUCUCAGUCACUUGAUUCUGUGUCAUUCAGUGCUCUCCAAAAUGAGUUUGUGAAUUAGAAUCUUCCUAAACAAGAAUUAAACGAAGAAAAAGCAAAAUUGGUGAAGCAGGUUCAGGAGAAAGAAGACUUUCUUUUGGAGGCGAAAUCUUGUCCAAAUGUAUAUAGAUCAAAGAAUGUUGAUCGUCUCAGUUACAGUUGUUAAUAAAGAAGUAGAGAAGCUGUAGCCAGCCGUUGCUUUAUGAGUUGUAGUCAGCUAUGUCUGCAGAGAACAAGAAAGUAAACCUACUCAAUUGAUAGACCACUAUGGAUUAGAUAAUAAAUUGCUACACUGUAACAGAAGUGAAGAAGAAUUUAUAGGUGUUUA
rnacentral:lncRNA from 1 species